rnacentral:lncRNA from 1 species
GGCGGGAACAGCCGUGGAGACGCGGUCGGCGCCGGACCACCAGGGACCGAUGCAGAUGCGGUCGGCGCCGGACCGCCAGGAACCGAUGCAGACGCGGUUGGCGCCAGACCGCCAGGAACCGAUGCAGACGCGGCCGGCGCGGGGCCGCCAGGAACCUAUGCAGACGCGGCCGGAGCCGGGCCGCCAGGAACCGCGGCGGGGACUGCGGCUGGCGCGGCCUCCUCCUGGAGGCGCGCGGGACUGCGGCUGGCGCGGCCUCCUCCUGGAGCGCGCGGGGACUGCGGCUGGCGCGACCUCCUCCUGCGCACGCCCGACGCGCUGGCGCGACCUCCCCUGGACGCGCGGACCGCUACUCCGAGGCUGACAGGAACGGGGGCUAGGACGACCUCUACGUGGCCGACAGGGACAGGAACGACCGCUACGGGACCGACAGGGACAGGAACGGCAUCUACUUGGCCGACAGGGACAGGAACGGCAUCUACUUGGCCGACAGGGACAGGAACGGCAUCUACUUGGCCGACAGGGACAGGAACGGCAUCUACUUGGCCGACAGGGACAGGAACGGCAUCUACUUGGCCGACAGGGACAGGAACGGCAUCUACUUGGCCGACAGGGACAGGAACUGAAACGGCAUCCUCACUAGAGUCGCAGAAGAUUGGAAAGAUUGGGAAAUUUGUGGCCGGCUCAUUGGUGUGUCCACCGGCCGUGGAGCUACAAACGCCGACGAGGGCCAUGGUUACUCGGCUGACGGAAUUACACCAGAGGAUUGCCCGGAUUGAAGGACUGAUCUGUAACAUCUCAGCCCGUUCGGAUGCCCGGAUUACAGGACUGACUAAUAAGAUCUCAGCCCGUACGGAGGAAGACAAGAGACUGAGAGAUAACAUCUGCAGACAGACUGAACACUUGGUGAAUAUGGUGACAGCCUUGUCUGACAGGCUUGAGGAGAUGUCACGGGCGACCCAUGGUCCCACAAGAGGCGAAGAAGCCCUGAGAUCUGACCGAUUGGAGUAUUGA